rnacentral:tRNA from 1 species
GGGUAGGUACCGAAGCGGCCAAACGGGGCAGACUGUAAAUCUGCUGGCUUCACGCCUUCGCUGGUUCGAAUCCAGCCCUGCCCA